CUGGCAUCACCUGAAAGCAAUUCACUCCGUCUGCCCGAGACACCUAUUUAGGAUGGCACCAGCAGCCCUGUGGUGAAACCUGUCUCUUCCCAUUGACUGGAGGGAAAGCCUGCCUGACUCAUUAGCGCUCGUCUAUUCCUCCUCCAAGAGAGCCUGACAAAAGUGGAGCAAAAAUAAUAAUAAAAAAAAAAAGAAGGAGAGGCACGUUCAUCCCUGCUCCGCUCCGACACGCACAAAGGGCUGGGAGGGAGCUGUUGGCCCAGGACAAAAUUGGCAGGGUAAUAAGUUUUCUCGUCGGCCUUUGAAGAUGAGAGAAGAAGCAGUCGAUUGUCAUAGGGAGAGCGAGCGCGUCCCUUUAAACCACAAAGCCUUCAAAGAUAGCCUGGAGUCCCAAAAAUAAAGGCUUCACACUGCCUUCCUCUGUCAGUCCUGGACAGAAAUAGUAGCCUAGUGGGAACCAUUAGGGCCGUGAUGAGAGGAGCCAGUCUGCUCCGAUGAAUGCGGAGAGCCCGAAGGGUGCUCCCGGGGCAGCUGCUCGGGCUCUGGUCUCCAUCACCCGGACCAACAGGGCUUGUGGAGGCGAGCCCCGUGAUGGGAAAUUUGGCUUUUGCCUCCUGGUAUGGAAAUGAGGCACCUGCACCGAGGCAGGAUUGCUCCCCGUGGCCCAUUUUGUCUCCCGGCCUUUGUCUUGAUCUGUUCUGAACGUCCCAAGGAGAGCCAGGGGGGGCUCAGGCUGAGUUCAGGGCUAUCAAUGAUGCCGAUGUCCCCCGAGGCCCCGACGUGGGGUUUUAUGGCACAUCCAUCUCCGCGUGAUGGAGCUGUGCCUUCUGCAUCCUUUGUGGAGGUGUCGCCCCCUCUUUGGGACAGCUGGUGGCCCGCUUUCGUCGGCGUAAAAUUCAUUCAGAGUGCUAAAAUACAGUGCACGGUGCAGGACCCAGAUAAUAAUAA